UCAAGGUAUCCUUCUACGUUUUCUUAUCGAGUUAUCGACGCACGCAACGAGCUGUGGUACCUUAUCAAUUAAAAACAAGCGAAAUCUUACCUGGAUUUCAUUUGAUUUUUCAUUGAGUUGCUCAUGUCCAAAGCUUUUUUCGGAUGCGUGGGUUUCUCUUUUUAGUUAAUUCUCGAUUGUCAACGCACAAUAUGCUAUGGGAAUUUAACAAUUGUUGUGCUAAUUUCAUUUGUUUUCUACCUCUACCCAUAUAUUAAAUUGCAAUUUGCAUUCGUUUAAUCAUACCGACUCAAAUCGAAAAUUUCCUCAAUCCUAGCGUGUGCUGGGUUACGAGCCUCUUCAUCUGACCGAUAGAUCGCAGCACUUAUUCGGGUCGACCCGUGCCGUUCCAACAAUCCCGGAUUAUUUGAAUUUCCCAGAAAGAGGGGUUAGGGUCUUCAAGACGAGGGGGAGGGUUAGAAAGAAUCCAUCAUGGCCGCCGAUCUUUUGGAACAAUUUUGUUACCCCUACUCUACCUCUCCUUUCCUUUUAGUCAGUUGGCGUUUGAAUGGCGACUAGAACAGUAGAACACUUGUGCAUGAAGUUUCGGAUCUGCUAACAACAUUUGUUAAGUGUAUUCAAAUUUUUUGUUAUCUGUUAAUAGAAACAUAGUGUCGCAUUGUUUAAUGUUUUUGCGUCGACGGAACUGGUUACAGAAGUCCUUACUUUAUACUUCACACCUUCGUAGUCUGUGCAUGUGCUUCGAUGUGCUUCCAUAUAAACGGACAUAAUCCAGGUGACGCUCAGCGAAAAAAGUCCAGAUUAAACGGUUUCGUCGGUGGAAAGACCUUGCUGAUUGGGACGGAGAAAAUGUCUAUCCAGGUCUACGGCCCCCUUUACUGGUGUGUGGAUGGGAACGAGGACACGCGGUGAAGCAGCUUCCUGGAUUGGAUUGACGGAGUAAACCAACAAUUCCAUACGGAUGAAAACUGCCAUUCAUGCAUCGCGAUGAACCAUGACCACCCAGGUGCUCGAUGAGACGUGGGGACCUUCUUUUCUUUUUUGAGGUUAGAUCAAAAUUUUUUUUUAUUUCCCUCGUCAUUAUUUUACGUCGGUCGGCCCGAGGAUCGACCAAAGUUUCGGUUUAUUGUGGUACGAAAUCCCAAGGUUUUCCUAUUUUCAAAGGCAGCUAUUAGCUUUUUUAUUUUCUCUCAUCAACAUCACCAGAUCAUAUCUUAUGGCCUUACUUGCCGUAUCACCUUGUACGUGUUUUGUACAAAUGCUGUCUAAGAUAAAAGCGAUUGAAAACGACCAGCAAUAUGUAAAUGAUAGCGUCGGAAAACCUGAAAUCGCAAAAUAACAAUUUAGACGGCGAUAAAUUUGUUACUUUUUACACUUGUUAAUCAAGCAAUUUGUCUUAAAAUUCCGUGGGCAGCGUCCGUACAUUAAAAACAGUUUUUCAUUUAAUAAUUUGACGAUUAAAAAAUGUCAAUGGUUUCUUUUCCAUUUUUUUUACUGCUAUCAAAUUAUUACGCUGACGGGAAAUAAUUUUAGUUAUGACUUCAUGCGCGUUAUCACCCGUUGCCUCAGCAACUAUUUUCUAGACUGGAUUUGUCAACAUGAGUUAGAUUUAGUGGGCCAAGAACUUUGACAAAUCUUGCUUUAGUUAAUUUGAUGCACUAUUUUGCGUUCCAGCGCAAAAAAUUGACAACUACUAGCAAACAUCAUUAAGCAAUUAGCUGCUAUCAAUUUAGCAUUUUUGACUUUUCGUUAGGUACUUGGAAUUUCCAACGCUUGUAAUAGAACAGCCGAUCGCGCACUGUUAUGCAAAGAAUAUGUGAUUAUUCUCAACCUGACGUGCGCCACUAAUUUAUUAUAGUUAUCAAUGACUUGUGAAGUUUAUUACCAACAUCGUCAAGAUUACCCAUUUAUUUAAUAGUGGGUAAGUGUAAACUUUAAUUGUUAUACAGCAAUCGAGGAGUGGUAGCGCGUAAAGCGACACCUAAUAGAAGAUAUUCGUACUCUUUACUGUGUUGAUGAUGGAGAAAGAGUCGUACAUUCGUUAUGGUUACUUUAGAUUGUCUUACGUUAGAUUUAGGUAUAUUUUCAACGUGUUCCAACUGAUGCAGUGUUUAUUAAUUAUUUUUCAAUUACCAUUGUAGAGUUCAACCUGCAGACGGGCCGGCCAG